rnacentral:rRNA from 1 species
GGGCCCGCACAAGCGGUGGAGCAUGUGGUUUAAUUCGAUGAUACGCGAGGAACCUUACCAGGGUUUAAAUGCAGAACGACAGGGGUGGAAACACCCCUUCUUCGGACGGACUGCAAGGUGCUGCAUGGUUGUCGUCAGCUCGUGCCGUGAGGUGUUAGGUUAAGUCCUGCAACGAGCGCAACCCCUAUUCUUAGUUGCCAGCGGUUCGGCCGGGGACUCUAAGAAGACUGCCAGCGCAAGCUGAGAGGAAGGUGGGGAUGACGUCAAAUCAUCACGGCCCUUACGUCCUGGGCUACACACGUGCUACAAUGGUACAGACAGAGGGCAGCCACCUGGCGACAGGGAG